rnacentral:lncRNA from 1 species
GAAAGUAAUAUUUAAAGCCUACUUAACCAAUCACUUUCUCUCUUCAUUCUUUGCAUGAGCAGAACUGGAGAACAGAAGUAGAAAACCGAAACAUCUCAAGCCUGUUCCACAGAUGGAUGAAAGUUUACCAGUUCUUGGUCAUAGGGAACCAGAGCCUACCCAGUAGCACAGGGCAUAAGGCCAGAAGGAGAGGGGACAUACCCAGGAUGGGACACCAGUCCGCCGCAAGGCACCCCAAGCGGGACUCGAACCCCAGACCCACUAGAGAGCAGGACCCAGUCCAACCCACUGCACCACCG